AACAAACGCUGGCGGCAGGCUUAACACAUGCAAGUCGAGCGCCCCGCAAGGGGAGCGGCAGACGGGUGAGUAACGCGUGGGAACAUACCCUUUAGUACGGAAUAGCCUCGGGAAACUGGGAUUAAUACCGUAUACGCCCUACGGGGGAAAGAUUUAUCGCUAAAGGAUUGGCCCGCGUUGGAUUAGCUAGUUGGUGAGGUAAUGGCUCACCAAGGCGACGAUCUAUAGCUGGUCUGAGAGGAUGAUCAGCCACACUGGGACUGAGACACGGCCCAGACUCCUACGGGAGGCAGCAGUGGGGAAUAUUGGACAAUGGGCGAAAGCCUGAUCCAGCCAUGCCGCGUGAGUGAUGAAGGCCCUAGGGUUGUAAGGCUCUUUCGCUAGAGAAGAUAAUGACGGUAUCUAGUAAAGAAGCCCCGGCUAACUUCGUG
rnacentral:rRNA from 1 species